rnacentral:lncRNA from 1 species
AGUGCGGGUAGAUAAACACCGUAACUGAGACUCAUGGAUCAGAAGCUCUGCUAGUCACUUGCAACCACACAAGGUGUCCAGCCUCUACGAAUUGUCCACACAAAAUCUUCGGACCGAUCAACCUUCCUCGGGACUGCUAGCUCAUGUAGACGGCUUCUGAUGGCAGAUCUGAUUUGAUUCUCUUCUUCGAUUGGCUCAGACCCUUCCGAUAUCGAAGAU